UUACUUGGCUUUCAUAGCGAAUCUGAGAGGUGCAAAUGUUUAAAUUGAUUUAAGUACUACAUAUUAAAAUACAUCGUUGUACAGUCAUUUUGAUGGUUGUAAAUUAUUUAACAUACUCAUUUUUAUAUAUUUUUAGACUGUUUACUGUUUGACUCCUGUCCCAAUCUUACAUAGUGGGUUCAAAAAGAAGAGACAGCGCUGGAAAGAUGAGUGAAUUGAAAGGAUCACCCCUUUUUGAAUUAAUAGUCGAAGUGGUAACCAGCAAGAAGUCGUAACCUGCUCGUAUGAAAGGAUUUCUCGACGUGAAAUUGUUAAUUUUAUUCAACAACGCCAAGAAACAGAGCUCGCUCAAGAAACAGAAAAGAAAGAGAAA